rnacentral:misc_RNA from 1 species
AAGAGUAAGGGUUAAUAGCCCGACCUCCAACCCUUUGUUGUUAUAACUACCUCGUUGCUUUGGCGGGACCGCUCGGUCUCGAGCUGCUGGUCUUCGGCCCGGCAAGUGCCCGCCAGAGUCUACUCAAACUCUUGUUUUAACCGGUCGUCUGAGUUAAACUUUUAAUUAAAUUA